CCUACGGGCGGCAGCAGUGAGGAAUAUUGGUCAAUGGACGCAAGUCUGAACCAGCCAAGCCGCGUGAAGGACGAAGGUGCCAAGCAUUGUAAACUUCUUUUGUCAGGGGACAAAAUCAGACUCGAGAACCUGACCGAGGGUACUUGACGAAAAAGCAUCGGCUAACUCCGUGCCAGCAGCCGCGGUAAUACGGAGGAUUCAAGCGUUAUCCGGGUUUAUUGGGUUUAAAGGGUGCGUAGGCGGUCCGUUAAGUUAGCGGGUAAAUCCCGGGGCUCAACCCCCGCGGGGCCUUUGAUACUGGCUGGCUUGAGAUGUGGAGAGGUAGGCGGAAUGCGUGGUGUAGCGGUGAAAUGCUUAGAGAU
rnacentral:rRNA from 1 species